GCCUGCGGUGGCUCAGAUGGAUAGAGCGUCUGCCAUUUAAGCGGGAGAUCCCGGGUUCGAGUCCCGGUCGGGGCA
rnacentral:tRNA from 1 species